rnacentral:rRNA from 1 species
GAUGAACGCUGGCGGCGUGCCUAAUACAUGCAAGUCGAGCGAACAGACGAGGAGCUUGCUCCUCUGACGUUAGCGGCGGACGGGUGAGUAACACGUGGAUAACCUACCUAUAAGACUGGGAUAACUUCGGGAAACCGGAGCUAAUACCGGAUAAUAUAUUGAACCGCAUGGUUCAAUAGUGAAAGACGGUUUUGCUGUCACUUAUAGAUGGAUCCGCGCCGCAUUAGCUAGUUGGUAAGGUAACGGCUUACCAAGGCAACGAUGCGUAGCCGACCUGAGAGGGUGAUCGGCCACACUGGAACUGAGACACGGUCCAGACUCCUACGGGAGGCAGCAGUAGGGAAUCUUCCGCAAUGGGCGAAAGCUUGACGGAGCAACGCCGCGUGAGUGAUGAAGGUCUUCGGAUCGUAAAACGCUGUUAUUAGGGAAGAACAAAUGUGUAAGUAACUAUGCACGUCUUGACGGUACCUAAUCAGAAAACCACGGCUAACUACGU